rnacentral:rRNA from 1 species
AUUGAACGCUGGCGGCAGGCCUAACACAUGCAAGUCGAACGAGUGGCGGACGGGUGAGUAAUGUCUGGGAAACUGCCUGAUGGAGGGGGAGAACUAAUGGAAAAGGUAGCUAAUACCGCAUACCAUCGGAUGUGCCCAGAUGGGAUUAGCGAGUAGGUGGGGUAACGGCUCACCUAGGCGCAGAUCCCUAGUUGGUCUGAGAGGAUGACCAGCCACACUGGAACUGAGACACGGUCCAGACUCCUACGGGAGGCAGCAGUGGGGAAUAUUGCACAAUGGGCGCAAGCCUGAUGCAGCCAUGCCGCGUGUAUGAAGAAGGCCUUCGGGUUGUAAAGUACUUUCAGCGGGGAGGCAUUACCCGCAGAAGAAGCACCGGCUAACUCCGUGCCAGCAGCCGCGGUAAUUC